GCGAGGGGAGUGAAAAAGAACCUGAAACCGUGUACGUACAAGCAGUGGGAGCACAGAGCAAUCUGUGUGACUGCGUACCUUUUGUAUAAUGGGUCAGCGACUUAUAUUCUGUAGCAAGGUUAACCGAAUAGGGGAGCCGAAGGGAAACCGAGUCUUAACUGGGCGUUAAGUUGCAGGGUAUAGACCCGAAACCCGGUGAUCUAGCCAUGGGCAGGUUGAAGGUUGGGUAACACUAACUGGAGGACCGAACCGACUAAUGUUGAAAAAUUAGCGGAUGACUUGUGGCUGGGGGUGAAAGGCCAAUCAAACCGGGAGAUAGCUGGUUCUCCCCGAAAGCUAUUUAGGUAGCGCCUCGUGAAUUCAUCUCCGGGGGUAGAGCACUGUUUCGGCAAGGGGGUCAUCCCGACUUACCAACCCGAUGCAAACUGCGAAUACCGGAGAAUGUUAUCACGGGAGACACACGGCGGGUGCUAACGUCCGUCGUGAAGAGGGAAACAACCCAGACCGCCAGCUAAGGUCCCAAAGUCAUGGUUAAGUGGGAAACGAUGUGGGAAGGCCCAGACAGCCAGGAUGUUGGCUUAGAAGCAGCCAUCAUUUAAAGAAAGCGUAAUAGCUCACUGGUCGAGUCGGCCUGCGCGGAAGAUGUAACGGGGCUAAACCAUGCACCGAAGCUGCGGCAGCGACACUGUGUGUUGUUGGGUAGGGGAGCGUUCUGUAAGCCUGUGAAGGUGUACUGUAAGGUAUGCUGGAGGUAUCAGAAGUGCGAAUGCUGACAUAAGUAACGAUAAAGCGGGUGAAAAGCCCGCUCGCCGGAAGACCAAGGGUUCCUGUCCAACGUUAAUCGGGGCAGGGUGAGUCGACCCCUAAGGCGAGGCCGAAAGGCGUAGUCGAUGGGAAACAGGUUAAUAUUCCUGUACUUGGUGUUACUGCGAAGGGGGGACGGAGAAGGCUAUGUUGGCCGGGCGACGGUUGUCCCGGUUUAAGCGUGUAGGCUGGUUUUCCAGGCAAAUCCGGAAAAUCAAGGCUGAGGCGUGAUGACGAGGCACUACGGUGCUGAAGCAACAAAUGCCCUGCUUCCAGGAAAAGCCUCUAAGCAUCAGGUAACAUCAAAUCGUACCCCAAACCGACACAGGUGGUCAGGUAGAGAAUACCAAGGCGCUUGAGAGAACUCGGGUGAAGGAACUAGGCAAAAUGGUGCCGUAACUUCGGGAGAAGGCACGCUGAUAUGUAGGUGAAGUCCCUCGCGGAUGGAGCUGAAAUCAGUCGAAGAUACCAGCUGGCUGCAACUGUUUAUUAAAAACACAGCACUGUGCAAACACGAAAGUGGACGUAUACGGUGUGACGCCUGCCCGGUGCCGGAAGGUUAAUUGAUGGGGUCAGCGCAAGCGAAGCUCUUGAUCGAAGCCCCGGUAAACGGCGGCCGUAACUAUAACGGUCCUAAGGUAGCGAAAUUCCUUGUCGGGUAAGUUCCGACCUGCACGAAUGGCGUAAUGAUGGCCAGGCUGUCUCCACCCGAGACUCAGUGAAAUUGAACUCGCUGUGAAGAUGCAGUGUACCCGCGGCAAGACGGAAAGACCCCGUGAACCUUUACUAUAGCUUGACACUGAACAUUGAGCCUUGAUGUGUAGGAUAGGUGGGAGGCUUUGAAGUGUGGACGCCAGUCUGCAUGGAGCCGACCUUGAAAUACCACCCUUUAAUGUUUGAUGUUCUAACGUGGACCCGUGAUCCGGGUUGCGGACAGUGUCUGGUGGGUAGUUUGACUGGGGCGGUCUCCUCCUAAAGAGUAACGGAGGAGCACGAAGGUUGGCUAAUCCUGGUCGGACAUCAGGAGGUUAGUGCAAUGGCAUAAGCCAGCUUGACUGCGAGCGUGACGGCGCGAGCAGGUGCGAAAGCAGGUCAUAGUGAUCCGGUGGUUCUGAAUGGAAGGGCCAUCGCUCAACGGAUAAAAGGUACUCCGGGGAUAACAGGCUGAUACCGCCCAAGAGUUCAUAUCGACGGCGGUGUUUGGCACCUCGAUGUCGGCUCAUCACAUCCUGGGGCUGAAGUAGGUCCCAAGGGUAUGGCUGUUCGCCAUUUAAAGUGGUACGCGAGCUGGGUUUAGAACGUCGUGAGACAGUUCGGUCCCUAUCUGCCGUGGGCGCUGGAGAACUGAGGGGGGCUGCUCCUAGUACGAGAGGACCGGAGUGGACGCAUCACUGGUGUUCGGGUUGUCAUGCCAAUGGCACUGCCCGGUAGCUAAAUGCGGAAGAGAUAAGUGCUGAAAGCAUCUAAGCACGAAACUUGCCCCGAGAUGAGUUCUCCCUGACCCUUUAAGGGUCCUGAAGGAACGUUGAAGACGACGACGUUGAUAGGCCGGGUGUGUAAGCGCAGCGAUGCGUUGAGCUAACCGGUACUAAUGAACCGUGAGGCUUAACCUUACAACGCCGAAGGUGUUU
rnacentral:rRNA from 1 species